ensembl:lncRNA
CUAUACUGCAGCUACAUACCAUAAUAACCCUACUGUAGCUACAUACCCUUAUAACAUACUGUAACUACAUACCAUAAUUACUAUACUGUAGGUACAUACCAUAAUAACCCUACUGUAGCUACACACCCUUAUAACAUACUGUAACUACAUACCAUAAUGACUAACUGUAACCAUAGUAACGUGUUGUGCUACAGCGGAGUCCUCGAGGCCUCGAGUCUGCCAGCCAGGAGAAGUGAGGAAGGAGUACGAGGACCAGGUCUCCAGGCUGGAGGAGGAGCGUCGUGUGGGGGAGGAGGCGGAGAGCAGGGCAAGUGAGGAGUUCAUCCAGCUCCUCCUGCAGGAGGAGGAGCUGCGUUUGGCCCAGGAGAGAAGGCGGCAAGAGGAGAAACUUGAGGAGGACGAGAGGCUGGCACGCCUCCUCAGCCAGGAGCUGAACUCCUCUCCGGUGUCUGAGCCUGCUUCUUCUCAUGCCAAGAUAAAACCUGCCCCUGGACAAAUAGACAGGUUCCUGUGUCCACUGCCUCCCAGACCAACCAGUUCAGUCACCAACAGGGACAACAUACUGCUCACCCCCCCAACCCCAGACAUCACCAGACCAGCUUCACCCAGACACCCGGACACCCCCCGACCGGCUCCCCCAGGAGACCCAGACCAGACCGAAGCCCCCCGUCCUGACCCCAUCCUCCAAGAGAGGCAGCGUCCAUGUGGAGACGGGCCCAGCCUCCUCCUCCUCCAAGAGACGCUGCUCUUCCCACCCCAGCACCUGGCCGCACCAGCAGGUCUCAGACGGUUCUGGAGUCCGAGGGGGCGGGGAGGAGGAGGGGGAGGAGGAGGUCUGUGUUCUCCUGGUGGAGGAGCUGAGCCGGCAGGAGGAGGCGCUGUUCGGCCGCCGUCAGCAGGAGGAGCAGGACCGUCUGGUGGCUGAGCUCCUCCAGAAGGAGCUGAACAAGGAGGAGCAGCGGGCCUUCACCGACCGCAGCAAAGGCUCCGCUGACCCUUACCAGCUGCGCCGCAAAGCCAGAACCCCCAGCAGAACCUCCUCCUCCUCCUCCUCCUCCAAACGAAAUGAGGUGGGAGCAGAGCGAAGGGCUACUCCUAACAGACAGACGGCCAGCAGCUCAAGCUCCGGCCCCGCCCCUCACCUGCCAGGGGCCAAUAAGCAGGCCUCACUAAAGGAUAUGUUCCGACGCCUCUCCAACUGAGAUCGGGACCAUCGGACCUUAGUUUCUCCCCCCACGCUUCCUCCCUGCUAACAUUCAUUGCCAAGUACGUUAGCAUCAUUACACUGCUCGUAGCGUACAGUAUACUGUAUGUUGGCAUCCUAACACUGCUUCUAGCGCACAGUAUGCUGUAUGUUAGCAUCCUAACACUGCUUCUAGCGCACAGUAUGCUGUAUGUUAGCAUCAUUACACUGCUUGUAGCGCACAGUAUGCUGUAUGUUAGCAUCCUAACACUGCUUCUAGCGCACAGUAUGCUGUAUGUUAGCAUCCUAACACUGCUUGUAGCGCACAGUAUGCUGUAUGUUAGCAUCCUAACACUGCUUGUAGCGCACAGUAUGCUGUAUGUUAGCAUCCUAACGCUUCUUGUUGCUGACAGUUUGUUAGCAUAGCAUCAUAAUGCUGCUUGUUGCGUCAGGUUUACAGUACGUUAGCAUCAUAAUGCUGCUUGUUGCGUCAGGUUUAACGUUUACAGUUCACAGCAUGUGAUUGCGAGACUGAUAUGAGGGAGUUGACCUGACUGCGAUAAGGUUUGCAUCAGCAGUUCCUCUAAAUGUUGCAGUUAUUCUGGAAAUAAACUGCCCACUGGUAGCUGUUAUGUCUUGGUCUGGUUUGUUACAGGAACUCACUGGACACCGGCUCAGAUCAGGCCUGGAACUAUUGUCCGUUAACUACCGCUCUCUCCUUAUUCCCCCCUCAAACAAUGUAGGACAAUCCGUCCCAGGUAUGUACCCUGUCCGCAGGGCCUAAUAUAGCCACGAGAUCAGGGAAUCCAUCCUUUGACUUCUUCUGCAAAGUCUGGGUUCGCUCAGCUCAUCUUGACCAAUCAGAGAAGGUUACCAUUUUAGUGUCUGUUCCACUUGAUGUGGUGAGUCAGAUGCAGUGCUGCUUAGACCUGAGGAUCUGCUCUGUGAUUUUGCUACAGUCAGUUGGAGGAAAUAACCAAUCAGCACGAGAGUCUGAGUCAUCUGAGAAGCUGAAGAACAGCAAAGCAGCAUAUAUAUUGGGGGUGUGACGACAUGGCCGUUUUUGGUCCAUACCCAAACUUUAUAAAAAAUGAGUAA